AAGUCGUAACAAGGUUGCCGUAGGUGAACCUGCGGCAGGAUCAUUAACGAUUUAAAAAAAAACUGUCCUUUUUGUUGGGCUGCUUCUCGAAGGAGAAAUUUUUUUUCUCCGUUUCGAGCGAGCUAAAAACAGUAAAUGGUUUCCAAAACUAAAUCGACCUAUAUUGAUAAGGGUCGCAAAAACUUGCCGAUCGGUGGAUCACUCGGCUGGUGGAUCGAUAAGAACGCAG
rnacentral:misc_RNA from 1 species